rnacentral:rRNA from 1 species
GGCACUGAAAUUGGAAAAACCCUCUUCGGUUUGAGCGUUUGCUCAGUUGCGGUGCUCGGUGUGCUUCGGUGUGCUUGGCCCGUUUCUGUGCUCAUAUUCGGAGGGGGUGACUUCUGUGUCACCUUGAGUAAAUCAUGGUGCUCACAGCAGUCGUGCGGGCCUCGUGCCCUGUGAACAGUCUAUGCGGACUGAAUUGGUUUUGCAAGGCAUGACGAAACAUGACGUCGCUGCUGGUCGCGGGCGGGGGCUCUGCCCAGUGGUUUGCCAGUAGUGACGUAAUGAUCAACGGAGACGGUAGCUGGCAUUGGUAUUGCGCGGCGAGAGGUGAAAUUCUGCGACCCCCGCAAGACCUCCUAAAGCGAAGGCGUCUGCCAAGGACGUGUUCACCAAUCAUGAACGAAAGUCAGAGGAUCGAAGGCGAUCAGAUACCGCCCUAGUUCUGACCCUAAACGAUGCCAACCAUCAAUCCGCGUGAGCACCCUAUCUAACGGGCUCGGCGGGCAGCUCCCUACUUCCGGGAAACCAGAGUUUUUGGGUUCCGGGGGGAGUCUGGUUGCAAAGCU